GAUGAACGCUGGCGGCGUGCCUAAUACAUGCAAGUCGAGCGAACAGACGAGGAGCUUGCUCCCCUGACGUUAGCGGCGGACGGGUGAGUAACACGUGGAUAACCUACUUAUAAGACUGGGAUAACUUCGGGAAACCGGAGCUAAUACCGGAUAAUAUAUUGAACCGCAUGGUUCAAUAGUGAAAGACGGCUUUGCUGUCACUAAUAGAUGGAUCCGCGCCGCAUUAGCUAGUUGGUAAGGUAACGGCAUACCAAGGCAACGAUGCGUAGCAGACCUGAGAGGGUGAUCGGCCACACUGGAACUGAGACACGGUCCAGACUCCUACGGGAGGCAGCAGUAGGGAAUCUUCCGCAAUGGGCGAAAGCCUGACGGAGCAACGCCGCGUGAGUGAUGAAGGUCUUCGGAUCGUAAAACUCUGUUAUUAGGGAAGAACAAAUGUGUAAGUAACUAUGCACGUCUUGACGGUACCUAAUCAGAAAGCCACGGCUAACUACGUG
rnacentral:rRNA from 1 species